rnacentral:rRNA from 1 species
CCUACGGGAGGCAGCAGUGAGGAAUAUUGCACAAUGGCGGAGACCCUGAAGCAGCGAAGCCGCGUGAGUGAAGCAGUAAUUCGUUAUUUAACACUCUAUCAGCAGGGAAGACAAUGACGGUACCUGAGUAAGCAGCACCGUCUACCUACGAACAAGCUGCGGCAGUCAUACGGCGGGAGCACGCGUUAUCCGGAUUUACUGGGUGUAAUGGGAGCGUAUGCGGCAGUGCAAGUCUGGAGUGAAAGGCGGUGGCGCAACCCCCGGACUGCUCUGGAAACUGCACGGCUGGAGUGAAGGAGAGGUACGUGGAAUGCCUAGUGGAGCGGUGAAAUGCAUAGAUAUUACGAGGAACACCAGUUGCGAAGGCGGCGUACCGGACCGUAACUGACGUUGAGGCUCGAAAGCGUGGGGAGCGAACAGGAUUAGAUACCCGGGUAGUC